rnacentral:rRNA from 1 species
AUUGAACGCUGGCGGCAGGCCUAACACAUGCAAGUCGAGCGGCAGCGGGAAAGUAGCUUGCUACUUUUGCCGGCGAGCGGCGGACGGGUGAGUAAUGCCUGGGAAAUUGCCCAGUCGAGGGGGAUGACAGUUGGAAACGACUGCUAAUACCGCAUACGCCCUACGGGGGAAAGCAGGGGACCUUCGGGCCUUGCGCGAUUGGAUAUGCCCAGGUGGGAUUAGCUAGUUGGUGAGGUAAUGGCUCACCAAGGCGACGAUCCCUAGCUGGUCUGAGAGGAUGAUCAGCCACACUGGAACUGAGACACGGGCCAGACUCCUACGGGAGGCAGCAGUGGGGAAUAUUGCACAAUGGGGGAAACCCUGAUGCAGCCAUGCCGCGUGUGUGAAGAAGGCCUUCGGGUUGUAAAGCACUUUCAGCGAGGAGGAAAGGUUGGUAGCUAAUAACUGCCAGCUGUGACGUUACUCGCAGAAGAAGCACCGGCUAACUCCGUGCCAGCAGCCGCAGUAACAC